GCCUGGGUGGCUCAGUGAGUUAAGCAUCCGACUUCGGCUCAGGUCAUGAUCUCACAGUUCGUGGGUUCGAGCCCCGCAUCAGGCU
rnacentral:tRNA from 1 species